rnacentral:snRNA from 1 species
GGGCUCACCUUGGCAGCACAUAUACUAAAAGUGGAACAAUACAGAGAAGAUUAGCAUGACCCCUGCACAAGGAUGACAUGCAAAUUUGUGAAGCAUUCCAUAUUAAA